GAUGAACGCUAGCGGCGUGCCUAAUACAUGCAAGUCGAGCGAACGGACGAGAAGCUUGCUUCUCUGAUGUUAGCGGCGGACGGGUGAGUAACACGUGGAUAACCUACCUAUAAGACUGGGAUAACUUCGGGAAACCGGAGCUAAUACCGGAUGAUAUUUUGAACCGCAUGGUUCAAAAGUGAAAGACGGUCUUGCCGUCACUUAUAGAUGGAUCCGCGCUGCAUUAGCUAGUUGGUAAGGUAACGGCUUACCAAGGCAACGAUGCAUAGCCGACCUGAGAGGGUGAUCGGCCACACUGGAACUGAGACACGGUCCAGACUCCUACGGGAGGCAGCAGUAGGGAAUCUUCCGCAAUGGGCGAAAGCCUGACGGAGCAACGCCGCGUGAGUGAUGAAGGUCUUCGGAUCGUAAAACUCUGUUAUUAGGGAAGAACAUAUGUGUAAGUAACUGUGCACAUCUUGACGGUACCUAAUCAGAAAGCCACGGCUAACUACGUG
rnacentral:rRNA from 1 species